rnacentral:lncRNA from 1 species
AGGCUGAAUAGAAACCAGUCCUUAGGGUUUCUGGGUGUCUCCUGGUGGUUUGCUUGGGGAAGACCUCUGUCAGAAUGCAGGGAGGUGUUGCCUUCCUUGAGGCUGUUGGCCCAGGCUUGGGGGAUGGCAGCCUGCUCUGCCUUGGCGCUGUCCAGUGAUAACAGCUUUUUGGUUGAGAAGCUCUUUCUAUCAAGUGGUAAACCUAUAAAAUAAGAAGCAAGCCAGAAUUCUCUGGUCCUGUUGGUGCUGACGGAACAGCAAGAGGCCGAGUGAGGUACGGCACCUCUUACCACACAUCUCACUCCAGUAGUUUGUCAAAUAAAAUACAAGAUGUCCAAUUAA